rnacentral:rRNA from 1 species
GACGAACGCUGGCGGCGUGCUUAACACAUGCAAGUCGAACGGAAAGGCCCUGCUUUUGUGGGGUGCUCGAUUGGCGAACGGGUGAGUAACACGUGAGUAACCUGCCCUUGACUUUGGGAUAACUUCAGGAAACUGGGGCUAAUACCGGAUAGGAGCUCCUGCUGCAUGGUGGGGGUUGGAAAGUUUCGGCGGUUGGGGAUGGUCUCGCGGCUUAUCAGCUUGUUGGUGAGGUAGUGGCUUACCAAGGCUUUGACGGGUAGCCGGCCUGAGAGGGUGACCGGCCACAUUGGGACUGAGAUACGGCCCAGACUCCUACGGGAGGCAGCAGGGGGGAAUAUUGCACAAUGGGCGGAAGCCUGAUGCAGCAACGCCGCGUGCGGGAUGACGGCCUUCGGGUUGUAAACCGCUUUCGCCUGUGACGAAGCGUGAGUGACGGUAAUGGGUAAAGAAGCACCGGCUAACUACGUG